AGUUAAUUAGCUUUAAAGCAAUUAUAUCUUGAAAAUAUAUUAUAGAAUAAUGUUCUGUUAACUU
rnacentral:tRNA from 1 species